rnacentral:rRNA from 1 species
AGAGUUUGAUCCUGGCUCAGGACGAACGCUGGCGGCACGCUUAACACAUGCAAGUCGAACGAGAGAAGAGAAGCUUGCUUUUCUGAUCUAGUGGCGGACGGGUGAGUAACACGUGAGCAAUCUGCCUUUCAGAGGGGGAUACCGAUUGGAAACGAUCGUUAAUACCGCAUAACAUAAUUGAACCGCAUGAUUUGAUUAUCAAAGAUUUAUCGCUGAAAGAUGAGCUCGCGUCUGAUUAGCUAGUUGGUAAGGUAACGGCUUACCAAGGCGACGAUCAGUAGCCGGACUGAGAGGUUGAUCGGCCACAUUGGGACUGAGACACGGCCCAGACUCCUACGGGAGGCAGCAGUGGGGAAUAUUGCACAAUGGAGGAAACUCUGAUGCAGCGAUGCCGCGUGAGGGAAGAAGGUUUUAGGAUUGUAAACCUCUGUCUUCGGGGACGAAAAAAGACGGUACCUGAGGAGGAAGCUCCGGCUAACUACGUGCCAGCAGCCGCGGUAAUACGUAGGGAGCGAGCGUUGUCCGGAAUUACUGGGUGUAAAGGGAGCGUAGGCGGGAUCGCAAGUCAGAUGUGAAAACUAUGGGCUUAACCCAUAAACUGCAUUUGAAACUGUGGUUCUUGAGUGAAGUAGAGGUAAGCGGAAUUCCUAGUGUAGCGGUGAAAUGCGUAGAUAUUAGGAGGAACACCAGUGGCGAAGGCGGCUUACUGGACGGUAACUGACGCUGAGGCUCGAAAGCGUGGGGAGCAAACAGGAUUAGAUACCCUGGUAGUCCACGCCGUAAACGAUGAUUACUAGGUGUGGGGGGACUGACCCCUUCCGUGCCGCAGCAAACGCAAUAAGUAAUCCACCUGGGGAGUACGACCGCAAGGUUGAAACUCAAAGGAAUUGACGGGGGCCCGCACAAGCAGUGGAGUAUGUGGUUUAAUUCGACGCAACGCGAAGAACCUUACCAAGUCUUGACAUCCCUUGACGAUGCUGGAAACAGUAUUUCUCUUCGGAGCAAGGAGACAGGUGGUGCAUGGUUGUCGUCAGCUCGUGUCGUGAGAUGUUGGGUUAA